rnacentral:rRNA from 1 species
GUAGGGAAUCUUCGGCAAUGGACGAAAGUCUGACCGAGCAACGCCGCGUGAGUGAAGAAGGUUUUCGGAUCGUAAAACUCUGUUGGUAGAGAAGAACGUUGGUGAGAGUGGAAAGCUCAUCAAGUGACGGUAACUACCCAGAAAGGGACGGCUAACUACGUGCCAGCAGCCGCGGUAAUACGUAGGUCCCGAGUGUUGUCCGGAUUUAUUGGGCGUAAAGCGAGCGCAGGUGGUUUCUUAAGUCUGAUGUAAAAGGCAGUGGCUCAACCAUUGUGUGCAUUGGAAACUGGGAGACUUGAGUGCAGGAGAGGAGAGUGGAAUUCCAUGUGUAGCGGUGAAAUGCGUAGAUAUAUGGAGGAACACCGGUGGCGAAAGCGGCUCUCUGGCCUGUAACUGACACUGAGGCUCGAAAGCGUGGGGAGCAAACAGGAUUAGAUACCCGAGUAGUCC